rnacentral:rRNA from 1 species
CGCUGGCGGCGUGCUUAACACAUGCAAGUCGAACGAUGAAGCCCAGCUUGCUGGGUGGAUUAGUGGCGAACGGGUGAGUAACACGUGAGUAACCUGCCCUUGACUCUGGGAUAAGCGCUGGAAACGGCGUCUAAUACCGGGAUACGACCUGCCCCGGCAUCGGGUGCGGGUGGAAAGUUUUUCGGUCAAGGAUGGACUCGCGGCCUAUCAGCUAGUUGGUGAGGUAAUGGCUCACCAAGGCGACGACGGGUAGCCGGCCUGAGAGGGUGACCGGCCACACUGGGACUGAGACACGGCCCAGACUCCUACGGGAGGCAGCAUUGGGGAAUAUUGCACAAUGGGCGAAAGCCUGAUGCAGCAACGCCGCGUGGGGGAUGACGGCCUUCGGGUUGUAAACCUCUUUUAGUAGGGAAGAAGGGCUUCGGCUUGACGGUACCUGCAGAAAAAGCACCGGCUAACUACGUGCCAGCAGCCGCGGUAAUACGUAGGGUGCAAGCGUUGUCCGGAAUUAUUGGGCGUAAAGAGCUCGUAGGCGGUUUGUCGCGUCUGCUGUGAAAACCCGAGGCUCAACCUCGGGCCUGCAGUGGGUACGGGCAGACUAGAGUGCGGUAGGGGAGAAUGGAAUUCCUGGUGUAGCGGUGGAAUGCGCAGAUAUCAGGAGGAACACCGAUGGCGAAGGCAGUUCUCUGGGCCGUUACUGACGCUGAGGAGCGAAAGCGUGGGGAGCGAACAGGAUUAGAUACCCUGGUAGUCCACGCCGUAAACGUUGGGAACUAGAUGUGGGGACCUUUCCACGGUCUCCGUGUCGCAGCUAACGCAUUAAGUUCCCCGCCUGGGGAGUACGGCCGCAAGGCUAAAACUCAAAUGAAUUGACGG